UGCAACCCUCAUCCUUAGUUACCAACAGGUAAUGCUGGGCACUCUAAGGAAACUGCCAGUGAUAAACGGGAGGAAGGUGGGGAUGAUGUCAAGUCAGCACGGCCCUUAUAGGGUGGGCUACACACGUGCUACAAUGGCAACUACAAUAGGUCGCGAGAUCGCAAGAUUUAGCUAAUCCAUAAAAGUUGUCUCAGUUCGGAUUGUUCUCUGCAACUCGAGAGCAUGAAGUCGGAAUCGCUAGUAAUCGUGGAUCAUCAUGCCACGGUGAAUACGUUCUCGGGUCUUGUACACACUGCCCGUCACGCCAUGGGAAUUGGCUUAACUCGAAGCUGGUGUGCUAACCGAAAGGAAGCAGC
rnacentral:rRNA from 1 species